GGGUGGGUAGCUCAAUCUGGAUAGAGCAGUGAACGGGUUAAUCACCCAUAGUCCUUGGUUCACAAUCUUGUCUGAAAAGGCCGACGAGUCGAGGGUUAUCGUUAAUUCAUGGGUUGCAGGUUCAAAUCCUGCCCCACCCG
rnacentral:tRNA from 1 species